GGUUGGGAAGAUCUCUUUAAGUAUUCCUUGUAAAAGCUAUUGGUCAUUCCAAAAGGUAAUUUCAUUCCCCUUACCUAGCUGGAAUUUGAUGCUUGUGAAGAACUAUUGUUGAACUAUGAGGAUGCUUUUCCAAGUUGGCGAAGCUCUUUUGAAGGUAGCUUGGGAGGGUUGGCUUGGUGUUCUGGAGAUAAAAUAGUUUUAAGAUAUUAAUUUCCUCCAUGGCCUUUGAUAUUCUCUAAAAUAUCUUCACCACCAUUUCAUAAGUAGGCACUUGUUGAACAGUUGUAGGUUA
rnacentral:lncRNA from 1 species